rnacentral:lncRNA from 10 species
UUUAAGUUCUGGCAAUGCUACUUUUAAGUUGAGUGACCUUGGGCAAGUCACUUAACUUCUUGGCACUUCAUUUUAGAGGCAAAAUGACAAUGGUGAUAUUGGGUGAGAGGAAUAAAUAGGAACGUACAUGUAAUAUGUUUAGCACAGUGGCUGGCAUGUAAAUGGGGACUGGUUUAGUGUCAGGCAGCUCUGAAUGUGGUGAGCCGUGGGAGACAGGCA